GGGUGGGGCUGGCGCAGCGAGCUCAGCGUCUGCCUCCGCAUCAACAGCCAGCGCGGGGGGCGGCGGCCCACAUGGAGGCGGCUCUCACAGCAACUCCAACUCCCACAGCAAUAGUCACUCCGCCACUCUAGGCGCUGGUCCGUUCUACGGCAGCCUCAGCAGUAGUCAGGCCGGGGCGUCAGCCAGUGCUGGGGCAGGAUCAGGGUCGUACCACCGCAAACCCAAGCCUAAACCCCAACACUACAGCCAUGAGUACUACGACUACUAGGACGGCGUUCAACGACAAAAAACCUACUCUCGUGACUUAUAGUACAAGUUCAUUCGCCUGAUUUGUGUAGUGUGAUAUUUUUAUUUAUGUAUUUAUUUAUUGUUAUUAAUUUGUUUAAAUUAUUUAUGUAACUUAUUU